rnacentral:lncRNA from 1 species
GAAAUUCUUAAAACAAAAAUAUAAACAACAAAUUAAAUGACACUACAUUUACAUGUUUCCAAUUGUAAAAUUUUCAAACUAGUUACCUUCAAAAUCAAGUUUUUGGACAACAUUAAAGCAAAAAUAAAAGCUCCAUUUUUUAAAAAACAAAUUGGGCUAUGAACCAUCUCAAGAAGGAAUAUGAGCAUUUUCUAUGAGAUUCCUAAACAAACAAGUCACCUAAUUUUAGGGCAUAAUUUCUAUACUAUGAUAGUAUAAAAAAUGUAUAUCAUCAGAUCAUGCAUAUUAAAUUACACUGAUAGUGUGUAAAGCCAUUUUGACAUGUAAGUAAGUCUAGUUGAUGAUUAGGACUUCACUAACUUCGCUAAAAAAAUCUGAUAUUUGAAGACGUAAUUCACAUUGACUGAAAAUGAUGUACCCAAAACAAUUGAAGUAUAGACAUUAAGGGAAAAAAUACUGAUUAUUAGGAGUACAUUUUAUAAAGAUGGAUGUACUCUUCAUCAAUGCCUACAAAACAACUAAAGGUAUUGGAAUUGAUGAGAUCCAUUCACUCUUAAUAAAAAAUCUUCUAUUCGAGCCCCGAAAAUGAAGAUAUCUUUGGUAGAGAAUACUUUCUUCCUUUAAUGAAUCAUAUCCGUUAAGAAUCUGAAUUAUUCGGACCAAUAAUACCAAAUACCAAAUGAUUAUACCAAAAAAAGAUACUAACUGAUAAUGAAAAGGAAAAAAAGAGAACAAAAUACCAAAACUGUUAUAAAACAAUAAAAGAAGAAGAGCAUUACGGAGAAAAGUAUAGAGGGAAUUCUUAUUGAAUUUUGGGAUAAAUUAUAAUGAAAUAGAACCCUUCUAUUUAUAGGGAAAAAGUGACUUAGCCACCAAGUAACAACCCUAAAGUCUCUCUAAAAUAUAGUCAUUCACCAUAAAUAAAAUAUUAUUUAUAACACUCCCCCUUGAAUGUCUAUUUAAUAUAUAAUGUGCCUCGUUAAAAUCUUAACUAAAAUAAAAUCUGGUAGGAAAAGAUUCUAGUGAAGGAAAAAGAGGAAACAUAUCUAACAAUACAGUCUUUUGGUUGCCUCGUUAAGACCUUGCAAGAAAAACCCAGUAGGACAAAAUCUUGUAAGGAAAAAAGAGUACAACGCGUAUUAACUCCCCUUGAUGAGAGCAUCAAUUCACAUCCUUGAACCUUCGCAUUCCAAUCUUGUGCACCAUCUUCAAAAUAUCAUUGAUAGAGAUUUGAUACACAAAUCAGUCAUAUUAACUUGAAUGAACAUCAUUCUUGAUAGAUAUAUAAUGUCUUUAUAAACUGCCGUGGAAUGGCCUUUUCAAUAGCUCCAUAGAGGUAAAAAAUUCUCACUAUCACAUUAUCAUGCUUAUAGUUAUAGCAAGAUGCAUUGUGCAUAAAUUGCAUCGAGGAUGUGGUACUUCAAGAUCAAGAAUUGUAUAUGCUUCAAGCAAUUGAAAUCCUUCGGGGAUUAUCAUAUAAGUAUAGUCAAAUAAGUCAUAUAAAUAGACUUCAGAUGCAUAUCAAGUUUUCAUGUCAUGUUAGACAUAUAAAAUAGAUAAAAGUAAUUGCACAUACCAUUGACUUUAUACUUUCAAGUGUUUGAACUACAUGUCCAAAAUUAUACGUCUUUCAUAUGAAACUAAUUCAUUGUUUCUCCAGACUUAAGAUCCUCUUAUGUAUUUUGCGUUAUCAUAUAUGUCGUCGAUAAAUAUUAUAUAUCGGUUCCAAUAUAUUUUUCAUAGAGACAUAACAUAGAGAUCUCUUCAUUCAUUUCUGCUACCUGAACCUCUCCUGAGAUUUUAUAAAGUAUUAUGUCAUGUGAUCUUCUAGAUCACUUGCCUCCUUUAUGAUCAUUUUGAUCAUUUGCUCAUCUUCUUUAUCAAGAAGUUUAUUUGAAACCGAUUUGUCUAUAUGCUUUAAGCGUACCAUAUACUUUGUUCUUCUAGGACUUAAUAGGAGCAUUUUAAGUGAGAAUAUAGUUACUUUCUUUGGGUCAGCAAAUGCGUCUUGUAUACUUUGCAAUAUAUUGCAGAUGAAUUAUCUUUUUAUGAACUUCAAAUUCAUAUUAUCUUAUUCGAGGAUCUAGAUGUAGAAAUGAUAAUUCAUUCCACGUAACUUUUUCUCAACUGUUUAUCUUGUCUCCCCCUCGUGUUAGAAAAACUAACUUGCUUCCUCAACUUUGGGAACUCAUCUUUGUGCAUUGUGGUGUUAACCAAAAUAUACACCGCACAUCAAUAAUAAUAAGAUGAAAUUAUUUGGUUCCUGACUCUGAACCACUUGUGAGGGGAGAAUGUAAUAUACUUUUGAGUAUAAUGUAUGUCAAACUAAUAUAGAUAACUUUGUUCUCAUAAGCAAUAAUUUAACUAUUAAGUGAAGGCACUCAAUAAAUUAUUUUGCUAAACCAGAUGUGAUAUAAACUAACUUAUCAAGAUGAACUGUCUUGAAUAGAAAAUCUGAAAAUUAUGCUCUAAAUUAAAUUAUUGAGCAAGUUACCUCACAAACACCAAGUUGCGGGUAAAUAAUAACCGCACAUGUAACCAUCUCAUAGAUGCAUCUUUAUAAGGUUUACAUGGCAGGUGAAUGAGCUCAUAUUCACCUUUGAUAAAUUUCAUAAUUCAAGGGAUUCAUUCCCAAUUUUAGUUGGUACAAUAAUCGCGAGAACAAGCAAUAUAAGAGAAUUCAUAAAGAAUCUUCUUCAACACUUACCCAUGUUAAUUCUCAUUUAUUUUAUGCAUCUAAAUCAAGAUUGCUCAAUAGGCCAUGCUUGAUAAAAUUGUCUGUAUUAGUAAACUUCAGGUUUACAUCAUGGCAUGUGCAAUUAUGAAUAAACUCCAAGUUUAUUAUGAUAUGAGUUUUUAUAUCAAUAAACUUCUACUUUAUUGUGGUAUUCUUUUGUUUGUGUUGUACAAACUGAAGAAUAAAGCGGGUAGCUUUUCACAUACAUAUCACCCGCUACUACUUGUAGUAAUAUAAGAUAUUGAAAUUUUCCUUUAUUUAUAGUCUCAAUAUAACCAAUCGCUUUUGCGAAUACUUUAGAAACUCAAUAAGUUUCUUUGAGACUUACUACAAUAUAAUGCCUUGUUGAUAAUCAAUUUUGUUCCUCCAAAAUAGUAAUAAUUGGCUCUUCCAGAGCUCUCAAUUAAUUUUGUACUACCACAUAUUCAUCAACAUCUAUAUGGUGAAUAUCUCUUUUAAAGAGAAAGUUAUACCACUAUGGUUAUGGUCAAAAUUAUAUGUAAGACCUGUUUCUUGCAUUACCGUUGUCUUUUAAUAAUCACAUUCCCAAAAUAUUUUGGCGUACAAUAAGUACGUGGCCAAUGACCAUUUACGCCAUAAUAAUGACAUUAUUUUCUUAUUUCCUCUCAAACCUCCUUUUAGAGGUGAGUGUGGUAUAUACAACUAGCACGCUCAUAUUCUUCCAAAAAUAAAUAUGUAUUCAUAAAUCACAUGUUGUCACAUUCACAUCAUGAAUAGACUAUAGUUAUAUAUAUGUGCUUUACAAAAUCUCAUGUCAAAUCGAUGACAAAUAUUACUUUCACAUAGUGAAAGAUUAUUUUGAGAAUACUUAUUGUUCUCAUUACCACAAUGAUGACGAUUAUAAUUUCGUCUAUUGCCAUCGUCCAAAUCCAUUGAUACAUUCAUGGUGAUAAUUUUGUUUCUUUCAGACGUAUCAAAUACUGCUAUCACAUUCUCUUAAGGGAAUGAGAAUGAAGCAAAUUCAAUGGGACAGGUUUUCACUUCUUGUGCUCACAAUCAUACAUGAAUUUGAUCAUGGCAAGACAUAAAAAUUUUACCACUUUUAGUGGUUAUAAUUUCUUACAAACUUUAUUAGAGUUAUAAUCAAAAUUUAUUGUUUUUACUUGUAUUUAAAAUCAAAUUAUAGAAUUUUAAGAAUUCAAAAGAGAAAAAUAAAGUAAAAUACUUACUUUAAAUCCAGAAUUUAAUCAUGAAGGAAGUUCAUGGAACAAUUGGCAAUUAUUAUGCUCAAUCCCAAAGCUUCUACUCAACCCAAAGCUUCUACUCAAUUGGUUAGAGUCUUGUGCUGAUAACGUGUUAUAAAACAAUAAAAGAAGAAGAGUGUUAAAGAGAAAAGUAGAGAGGAAAUUCUUAUUGAACUUUGGGAUAAAUUACAAUGAAAUAGAAUCUCUCUAUUUAUAGGGAAAAAAUAACUUAAUCACCAAGUAAUAACCCUAAAAUCUCUCUAAAAUAUAGACAUUCACAUAAGAUAAUAUUUGUAACAAAAACAAGGAAUCUCACGAUAUAUAUUCGAAGGCAAACAAAUGAAGAAAAUAGUCAAAAAUGCGUACAUUUGUUUAAAACUCAUGAUCGAUCCAUUAUUUCUGGAACUGGGCUCUCUGUAACGCUUUCUAAAGAUGGUUUCCACUUAGAAUCUCUUCUUUCUCUUCUUCUUUUUAUUUCUCCCAAACAAUCAUCUAAAUUUUUUCCGUCUUUGAGUUUCAACUGAAGCAAUAACUUUUCUAGCUCUUCUUUACUCAAAACAAUCUUUAUUCUCAUACUAUUAUUUCCUUUUAUCUCUGUUUCUGUUUUUGCCUUGAGAAUUUCACUUGUUUUUUCCUCUGUUUCUAGUUCUUGAAUACUUUCCUCUAUUUCUUCCCUUCGUAAACAUGCUUCCAUGCAAUUUCCCAUUAUAUUGGAAACACUGGUAAAUCGUUCUUUCUUCUAAGAAAUGGAUUUUUUUAAAUAGUAAUUUGCUGUUUCUGAGCUGAAAGAAGAGGAAGAAAAAGCAGCCAAAACCAAUAAUUUUGAGAGAGAGAGAGAAAAGAGAAAAUUUUGAAGUGUUAACUAUAGUGCAUGUGAUGGUGAUUAGACUUCAUAUAUAGAAAGAAUAAACACGUAUUGAAUAAAAUAUUGUAUUAGUUAAUUAAUACGAGGGACUUUGCUUUUUUGUUAUGAUCAUCUCAUAGCGAGAAUUACUACACAAACUAAUUUAAAUUCGUGUUGUAUUUAAUCUAUUUAAAAA